UACAUGUAGCAGAAGACGCCAAAAGUUAGAGCGAGAAGAAUGCGAUUAAACACCAAAUAUACGACGUGACAUUAAUUGGGAUGGAUGUAAUCUACUCAAUAACAUGUCCUGGAAGGUGUUUACGAUAUGGGUCUGGCUGUUUUCCACAUGAAUCAAUGAACACAAGAAUACAUCUCAAAGAAAUCAAGAGAGAAAAGAUAAGAUGAUCAAUGAAAGAAAAGAUAAGAGCCUUCAUAAAAAGAAAUUGCAAGAAAAAUUAGAAGGAAAUUUCCUCUCCAAGACAGAUUAUUAUGCCGGCUGACUGCCACUGCCAUGUGCCAUACCUCGGAUGAAGGCGUCAGCUGGUCAACGCAAUUUUCAUUUCGUUCCACUUCAACAGUCACAUCUGUGCAAAGCUUAUCAACCUGAGAGGUAAUAACAUUGGAAUUUAAAUGCUUGUGCGCAAUAUGGUACUUUAAACCUUUUAGUGAAGUACGACAAUCAUGACACUUCUUUACAGGGCAAGCAAAUGAUUUAUGCACCCUGUGAUGCGUUCGCGCCCAAUGUUCUUCAAAGUCACGUCGCGAUGCAAAGGUUUUAGUGUCAAGGCAGGCAGGGCAGUCCAUAUUUGGCAUGAACUUUAUAAACUUCAUUGCUGGCGCCCCCUCCAUAACCUCUGUAUGCUCCGAUCCCCAUUGCAUGAUCUCCUCUUCAUCAACAUCUAGGUUGAGAACGUCAGCCAUCCUUUGACUGCAAAUAAGGAGUAAGUAACGCCUGCAUGAGAUAUGUUGUAACUUCAACAGUGCUUAUCACUUUUCUAUAUUCUAGAUACAUCCUAGGAAUCAUAAUCUAUCAUCAGCUUCCUCAGUGAGAACUAGAGUGAAUCCCAUACCAAUCAACCAUAUCCAGUAAAUAGUUUAGAAAGCUUACAUCAAGCCCAAAUUUUAAAUCUUUACCACUUAAAAGAUAUGUUGUUUAACAUUCAACUUUCGUGCCAGACAUUCCCUAGAUCACAUUUUGAUCUGUUGCAUCCACAAUGCAACCGCAAUAUUCAUAUCUUCAUGAAACUAAAGUAUAAAGGGGUCUGACAAUAUGUAGGAAAACAAGUGAAAUAUGAUUGUUUUCAGAUUCAUUUGGAAUAACAGUACACUAACAGUAUGUGAGAAUUACUGAGAAGUCCACCAUGUUGGAGGAUCAUCUCCCUCAUAGGGCAGAAGUCUGUCAACAUGGACAACCCAAGGUGAGCUAUUUGAACCAUCCUGUAUACGGUAAGUCACAUCAUCAAUCUGUUUGAUGACCACCCAUCCCUUCUUCCAGCGAGUAAUGAACUUCCUGCUGGACGGGAGGUUCUUCCCAGGAUUAUAUAACCACACUGGUUGUCCAACCUUGAGUCGAAACUCUUUAGUCCCCACAUCGUACCUUUUCUUCCGGAUUUCAGAAGAAUGUUUAAGGCUAUGGCGGGCAGACUCAAAGGCAUAUUCAAACCUCUCCCUGAGUUUCUCAACAUACUCGUCAUGCUUCUGAGCAUUUUCAUUUGGGUUUCCGGUAAUAAGUUGGAUUGGUAACCGGACUUCCCUACCCAAUGUUAGUUCAUUUGGCGUAAAACCAGUAGACUCAUGUCUAGAAGAUCUGUAAGCUGCAAUGACAUAGGGAAGGUGCUUGUCCCAUGAUUUUGGUUUCCCAUCUGCAUAUAUGCAGAGCAUGGCACCCAAGGUACGGUUAAAACGCUCAACCUGGCCAUUGGCUUGCGGUCGAAGAGCUGUUGUCCUUGUUUUCACAAUGCCAAGCAACUUACAGAGUUCUUGGAAGAGAGUAGCCUCAUAUUGUCUGCCCUGGUCACUGUGUAUUAGUGCAGGUGUACCAAAGCGACAAACCCACUCUUCCACUAUCUUCUUGGCUACUGUUUUAGCCUCAAUGUUUGGAAUGGCGUAGGCCUCAGUCCACUUUGUAAAGACAUCUGUAACCACCAAAAUGAACUUGUUACCAGACUGUGUAUGAUCGAGCAGCCCCAUAAUGUCAGUAGUAAGUCGCUCCAUAGGUGAGCCAGUUACAUACUGCUUCAUAGGUGCUCUCUGCUUCGAGGGUCUUUUCCGAGCAGCACACUUGUCACAUUUGGUACAAUGUUGUCUUAUGUCUUUUUUCAUGUCAAUCCAAUAAUAAGACUGUUGGAUUUUUUGGAGAGUUUUCUGCAGCCCCAGGUGACCUCCUAAAGGAGAAUCAUGAUUAUGGGUGAGGAUCAGGCGACGUUUACAAGUUGGCAUGACAAUCUGCCAGUGCCAUCGUCUGCCAUCUUUGUUCUCCCACCUCCUAUGGAGUACCCCUUGUCUAAUAGACAACCGAUCAUUUUGUCCCCACAGAGCCUUACAAGCACUCGAGGUGGCAGACACCUCUUUCCACUGUGGACUGACAUUAUUAGCUCUGACCUCGUAGAUGAGUGCAAUAUUCAUCAUCAGCCAACUGAAGAUUUUUCAGUUCAUCUGGAGACAAUUGUUCAUAAUGAAUGGCAGUUUGGGUCAUACUCCCAGUCUUUGCCGACUUGGACCUAGUCACUACACCACAAAUGCUUGGAGAUGAAUCCGGGCCGGCGCAUUGUUUGCUGCAAGGUCCAUCUUCUCGUUUGCAUUGAGGACAUGGUACACAAGGUCGGCGACUUAGGGCGUCUGCAUUCCAAUGAAUGCGCCCAGGUCUAUGAACUUCAUUUAAGUCAUAAUUGCUCAGUUCUUGUAAACCACCUGGCCAUCUGAUUUACAGGUUUCUUAAUCCGCUUGGCCCAAACCACAGCAGAAUUAUCGGUUCUUUUAAUGACAGGCCAUCCAAAUACAUAGGGAUACCAGUACUGACAAGCAGUCACUACUGCAAGAAGUUCACGUUGAGUAACACAGUAGUUCCUCUCUGCUGCAGAGAGAGUCUUACUGAGGUAUCCCAGAACUACUUCCCGACCUUGCAUUUGUGCCAUAACUGCGCCUAGUCCUUCACCUGAAGCAUCAGUGUCAAUGAUAACUUGGCCUUCUGUUUGAGGAAAACCAAGAAUCGGAGCGGAAGUAAGAGCGACCUUUAAGCUCAUAAAAGCUUGGUCUGCUUCACUACUUCACUGGAACUCUACUAGUUCACUAGUCAGUCUGGUUAAUGGUUUUGCAAUCUUUGAAAAGUUUUCAACAAAUCGCCUGUAGUAGUUUGCUAAACCUAAAAACCUCAAAACAUCUUUGUGACAUUUUGGUGUAGGCCAUCCUUUUACAGCUUCUAUUUUUUCAGGUUGUGUGUGGACACCAUAUGCCGAAAUCACAUGCCCGAAAAAGUUCACUUUUGUCUGAAACAAGUGACAUUUUUUAGGCUUCAGCUUCAACCCAGCUGCGAUAAAUCUGUCCAAGACCAUUUUGAAUCGUUCAAGGCAUUGUUCAAAGUCUGUCCCAAAGACAUUUAUGUCAUCAAGAAAACAGAGGCAGUCUUCCCAUUGAAGACCUCUGAGCACUGUCUCCAUCAAACGCUCAAAAACACUUGGUGCAUUGCACAGACCGAAUGGCAUAACUGUCCACUCAUAUAACCCAGAUCUUGUGACAAAUGCGGUCUUUUCACGAUCUUUAGGGUCCAUCUCUACCUGCCAAUACCCUGCUUGUAAGUCCAUCAUGCAGAACAGUUUUGCACCACCUAGACUAUCAAUACAGUCUUCUAUUCUCGGUAGAGGGUAUGAAUCUUUUUUGCUUGAAAGAUUCAACAAACGAUAGUCACAACAAAAUCUGUAACAGCCAUCACUAUGCUGCACUAAUACAGUUGGUGAAGCCCAAGGACUAGUAGAGGGUGUGAUUACACCUUGCUCUAACAUCCGAGCAACUUCUUUUUGCUCUGCUGGCGUCUAGGGGCCUGCUUGAUUGGUUUAGCAUCACCUGUAUUGAUAGUGUGCUUGACCAAACCAGUGCGCCCCAAAUCAUCCUCAUUCUUAGCAAAAGUAUUUUUAUAAGAAGAAAGGACAUCUUCCAAUUUCUCCUUUUGAGAUACAUUAAAAUUAGAUUUACUUCUGUCAAAGAGAUCUUUAAGAUAAUCAGGAAUUACUGCACUUUGGACAUUAAGUUUUGCAAUUUUCUUGACCUUUUUGUUUGAAGGCAAAGUAACACUUUGACAUUGAGCCAAAAUUCUACCAGAGGUAAGAGUAAUUGGGUUAUCUGUCACAUUAAUGACUUUAACAUAAGCUGCGUUAGCCCUGUUGACAACACCAUUACCCAUGAGAAGACCACUUUGAACUAAAAUCUCCUUACAUGGCUCCACAAGAACAUUCUUAGUGUUCUGUUGAUUAUCAGGUAAGGACAGUUUAACUAAGACACUGACUGUGGUGGGACCAAGGUAUUAUCAGCUACUAUUGCAGUUCUAUCAGCUGCAAAAGUAGGUAACCAAACUACCUGUAAUUUGAUCUUGUGAUCUGCAAGAUCAACUACAGCACCUAGAGCAGUGAGUAUGUCCAUGCCCAAAAUACCAUCAACUUCGAACAAGUUCUCAAUCUCAGAUACAAGAAAUUCUUCCUGAGUAGGUUCCAUGUCCUCGUUUAUAUUCAGCAGUGCCUUGAAUAUUCCGUUCACAGGAAACAAACUUACAUUAACGGCUUCCAAUGACAAAUCAAUCGGACUAAGUGCGACAGAACGAGGAAGACGCUUGUAAGAUCUAGGAGAUAACAAAGACACCUGGCUACCAGUGUCCACUAACAAGGUAAAGUUGUGGAUAUGCAGUGGCUCUCACAGAUCGCUGAGUGGUCCGACAGUUUGGUCCGCCCAACACAGACUCGUACAUCUCUGCAACAUCAACCGCUCCUUGUAGCGUGCAAACACUCUUGUCAAGGAAUCGGAGACGGAGAUCUUUGUCUACAGCUCUUUUGAGAGCAUCUAGCGCCAAUCUCUCCUGGAGGCCAUCAUCCAGAUCAGGAUAGGCUUCCUGGACAAGUCGCCAAACAUCGUCUCUCAAGUCUGCUUUUGACUCCCCAGGCUUGCGGUUCCGGUUGAUAAAUUCUUCCUGCUUAACAUCAGGGAAACUACUACCGUACCGUCUCCGAAGAGUAUCGGCAAGCCAUUGGUAGUCGUAGCGACUUCGCUCAGGUAACCUUGCAUAAAACACCUGUGCUGCUCCUUCCAGAGCACAUCCCAGCAUAUCUGCACACUGCUGGUCAGUCCAUUGUGACUGUCUAGCGACAUUCCUGAACUGAGCCUCGAAGGCAGCAUAAUCCCCCUUACCACUGAACUUUGGCAAGUGCAAGGAGAUACGCGCCACAGGAGUAGCUCUGGAAUCAGGUCGUCUGACAUCCAUGGCGUUAACCCGCUCGGCUAAGCUCAAAACUGUUUUUGAGAGCUGUGCCAUGAUGUUAACCAUGUUAGUCUCAUUCUGAUCAUUCUGCUGGUCAUUCCUACCAAUAGGUCUAUAUAACACAUUGUCAUACAAAGAUGGUGAGUAGUGCCUGUUUGAGUCCAGUGGCUGCAAAUUUCCCUGAAAACUUUGCUGCCGGCCAUGACCAUGUAAGUCUCCUUCACUGAAGGACCUACUCGGAUCAACAAACCUGGCGCUAUUUUCUCUGGCUGCACCUUCCUCAUGGUAACCAUCUGCCAUUGGUCUGCGACUUUCACUCGCGACCUGUUCUCUUACAUUUAGGUUAUCAACAAUUUGUUGUCUGCGAGACCUUGAAUUAGUUGCAGGGCCUUCCAUUGCAGAGUUUAUCAGAAAAACUGUUUUGAUAAUGAUCCAUAACUACACAAAUAAGUUAAGUAAAGUUUCAACAUUAUCUCCAUUUAUCCAAAAAGCAUAUCCCACUUCUGACACCAUUAAACUGUAACGGGUUGGGGGUGGGGAAAACGUGGUUCUCAGGAUGUUUUCAGUCCCAUCCCAACUGUCAGUUUCAAAGAGAUAUUGUUAAAAACGGAUGUAUAAGAAAACUAUAACAAAUAAUAAAAGUCAAUUGAAAUCUUAACUUGUUGUUGUUAUUAAUAAUUUCAAUAUGUACAUGAACUAACUGCAAGUCGUACUCUAUUUUUAACGCUUGUUAGUUUUGACAGUUAGAUUCUAGACAAUUAAUUUCUACAUAUUCUAUUUAAUCUACUUGGAAAAGAAUAAUCACUAUGCGCAAAGGCAGAGCCAGUAAUGCUGCACGGUAAUUGUUAUAGAAAAAACUGUAAACUAGUCUAACUAAUCAUUAUAAAAUUUCUAAAAACUGGCUGGGCCAA